ensembl:snRNA U6 U6 spliceosomal RNA
GUGCUCACGUUGGCAGCACAUAUACUAAAACUGCAACAAUACAGAGAAGAUUAGCACGGUCCUUGAACAAGGAAGAUGCACAAAUUUGUGAAGCAUUCCUUAUUUUU